rnacentral:rRNA from 1 species
UCCCUCAAACUGGGAUUAGAUACCCCACUAUUUUUAGUUGUAAAUUUAGUUUAAGCUUACCAGAGUACUACGAAUAAAAAAGUUUAAAACUCAAAGGGCUUGGCGGUGUUUUAGACCUCUCAGGGGAACCUGUCUCGUAAUCGACAGUCCGCGUUAAACCUAACCUUUUAUAGCAAUACAGCUUGUAUACCGUCGUCGUCAGGUAACUUCUUAAAAUAUAGUAGUUAGCCCGAGAAUUAGGUUAAUUAGGACGUCAGAUCAAGGUGCAGCCAAUAAAGAGGUGAGGAUGGGUUACAAUUACACAUUUGUAAAUACGGAAAAUAUUUGAAAUAUAGUAUCAUAAAGGAGGACUUGAAAGUAAUUUUAGUUAUAUAAAUAGAAUGAAUAUGGCUCUGAAACGUGCACACACCGCCCGUCACCCUCUGCAGUCAAAAA